rnacentral:sRNA from 1 species
UAACAAUGGUAGCAGGUGAAGUUCUAUUAUAUAUCCAAAGACCAGGACAAUGGGACUGCAAGUUCCCCACUCUGCCCUACUAUUGUGCCUCUGCACUGACCUGGUGGGAUCAUCUCUAGGGCUGAAGGCAGUUCACUCUCCAUCAAUGUUCCCUCUAAUUUUU